rnacentral:rRNA from 1 species
UACGAAGGGGGCUAGCGUUGCUCGGAAUCACUGGGCGUAAAGGGUGCGUAGGCGGGUCUUUAAGUCAGGGGUGAAAUCCCCAGGCUCAACCUGGGAACUGCGUCUGAUACUGGAUGGCUUGAAUUCGGGAGAGGGAUGCAGAAUUCCAGGUGUAGCGGUGAAAUGCGUAGAUAUCUGGAGGAAUACCGGUGGCGAAGGCGGCAUCCUGGACCGAUAUUGACACUGAUGAGCGAAAGCCAGGGGAGCAAACGGG